GAUGAACGCUGGCGGCGUGCCUAACACAUGCAAGUCGAACGGAAUUUACAUGAAGCCUAGCGAUUGUAAAUUUAGUGGCGGACGGGUGAGUAACGCGUGGGUAACCUGCCUUGUACUGGGGGACAACAGUUGGAAACGACUGCUAAUACCGCAUAAGCGCACGGCUUCGCAUGAAGCAGUGUGAAAAACUCCGGUGGUACAAGAUGGACCCGCGUCUGAUUAGCUGGUUGGUGAGGUAACGGCCCACCAAGGCGACGAUCAGUAGCCGGCCUGAGAGGGUGAACGGCCACAUUGGGACUGAGACACGGCCCAAACUCCUACGGGAGGCAGCAGUGGGGAAUAUUGCACAAUGGGGGAAACCCUGAUGCAGCAACGCCGCGUGAGUGAAGAAGUAUUUCGGUAUGUAAAGCUCUAUCAGCAGGAAAGAAAAUGACGGUACCUGACUAAGAAGCCCCGGCUAACUACGUG
rnacentral:rRNA from 1 species